rnacentral:tRNA from 1 species
AGGCGCGUAGCUCAGUGGGAGAGCACUACCCUGACACGGUAGGGGUCGCUGGUUCAAAUCCAGUCGCGCCUACCA